GCUGGCGGCAUGCCUAACACAUGCAAGUCGAACGGUAACGCGGAGAGCUUGCUCUCUGGCGACGAGUGGCGGACGGGUGAGUAAUACUUAGGAAUCUGCCCAGUAGUGGGGGACAACAUUCGGAAACGGAUGCUAAUACCGCAUACGCACUACGGUGGAAAGUGGGGGACCUUCGGGCCUCACGCUAUUGGAUGAGCCUAAGUCGGAUUAGCUUGUUGGUGAGGUAAAAGCUCACCAAGGCGACGAUCCGUAGCUGGUCUGAGAGGACGAUCAGCCACACUGGGACUGAGACACGGCCCAGACUCCUACGGGAGGCAGCAGUGGGGAAUAUUGGACAAUGGGCGCAAGCCUGAUCCA
rnacentral:rRNA from 1 species